UGAUGGAGCAAUACCAUGUGAAUGACGAAGGUCUUUUUGAUUGUAAAGUUCUUUUAUGAGGGAUAACAACUGAUAGUACCUCAUGAAUAAGUGACAGCAAACUAUGUGCCAGCAGCUGCGGUAAUACAUAGGUCGCAAGCAUUAUUCGGAUUUAUUGGGCGUAAAGCAAGCGCAGGCGGAUGUGUAAGUUCUGUGUUAAAAGUAGCUACUUACUAKUUGUUUGCACCGAAUACUACAUGUCUAGAAUGUGGUAGGAAGUUUUGGAAUUAAACAUGGAGCGGUGGAAUGUGUAGAUAUGUUUAAGAACACCGGAGGCGAAGGCGAAAACUUAGGCCAUAAUUGACGCUUAGGCUUGAAAGUGUGGGGAGCAAAUGGGAUUAGAUACCCCAGUAGUCCACACCGUAAACGAUGGGUAUUAGGUAUUGGGGUUUGAGCCUCAGUGCUGUAGCUAACGUGUUAAAUACCCCGCCUGGGUAGUACAUAUGCAAAUAUGAAACUCAAAGGAAUUGACGGGGACCUGAACAAGUGGUGGAGCAUGUUGCUUAAUUCGAUAAUACACGAAAAACCUUACCAAGGUUUGACAUCCUUCGCGAAGCUAUAGAAAUAUAGUAGAGGUUAUCGGAGUGACAGGUGGUGCAUGGCUGUCGAUCAGCUCGUGUCUUGAGAUGUUUGGUUAAGUCCCUGCAAAGAGCGCAAUCCUACUCUUUAGUUAUUUUUCUAAAGAGACUGCACAGUAAUGUAGAGGAAGGUUGGGAUCACGUCAAGUCAUCAUGCCCCUUAUGCCUUGGGCUGCAAACGUGCUACAAUGGCAAACACAAUGUGUUGCAAAUCAGCGAUGAUGAGCUAAUCACUAAAUUUUGUCUCAG
rnacentral:rRNA from 1 species